rnacentral:rRNA from 1 species
GAUGAACGCUGGCGGCGUGCUUAACACAUGCAAGUCGAACGAAGCACUUUAUUUGAUUUCCUUCGGGACUGAUUAUUUUGUGACUGAGUGGCGGACGGGUGAGUAACGCGUGGGUAACCUGCCUUGUACAGGGGGAUAACAGUUGGAAACGGCUGCUAAUACCGCAUAAGCGCACAGCAUCGCAUGAUGCAGUGUGAAAAACUCCGGUGGUAUAAGAUGGACCCGCGUUGGAUUAGCUAGUUGGUGAGGUAACGGCCCACCAAGGCGACGAUCCAUAGCCGACCUGAGAGGGUGACCGGCCACAUUGGGACUGAGACACGGCGCAAACUCCUACGGGAGGGAGGAGUGGGGAAUAUUGCACAAUGGGCGAAAGCCUGAUGCAGCGACGCCGCGUGAGCGAAGAAGUAUUUCGGUAUGUAAAGCUCUAUCAGCAGGGAAGAUAAUGACGGUACCUGACUAAGAAGCACCGGCUAAAUACGUG